rnacentral:rRNA from 1 species
UUAAGCGACUAAGCGUACACGGUGGAUGCCCUGGCAGUCAGAGGCGAUGAAGGACGUGCUAAUCUGCGAAAAGCGUCGGUAAGGUGAUAUGAACCGUUAUAACCGGCGAUGUCCGAAUGGGGAAACCCAGUGCAAUUCGUUGCACUAUCGUUAACUGAAUACAUAGGUUAACGAGGCGAACCGGGGGAACUGAAACAUCUAAGUACCCCGAGGAAAAGAAAUCAACCGAGAUUCCCCCAGUAGCGGCGAGCGAACGGGGAGCAGCCCAGAGUCUGAAUCAGCUUGUGUGUUAGUGGAACGGUCUGGAAAGUCCGACGGUACAGGGUGAUAGUCCCGUACACCAAAAUGCACAGGCUGUGAACUCGAAGAGUAGGGCGGGACACGUGGUAUCCUGUCUGAAUAUGGGGGGACCAUCCUCCAAGGCUAAAUACUCCUGACUGACCGAUAGUGAACCAGUACCGUGAGGGAAAGGCGAAAAGAACCCCGGCGAGGGGAGUGAAAAAGAACCUGAAACCGUGUACGUACAAGCAGUGGGAGCACCUUCGGGUGUGACUGCGUACCUUUUGUAUAAUGGGUCAGCGACUUAUAUUCUGUAGCAAGGUUAACCGUAUAGGGGAGCCGCAGGGAAACCGAGUCUUAACUGGGCGUUAAGUUGCAGGGUAUAGACCCGAAACCCGGUGAUCUAGCCAUGGGCAGGUUGAAGGUUGGGUAACACUAACUGGAGGACCGAACCGACUAAUGUUGAAAAAUUAGCGGAUGACUUGUGGCUGGGGGUGAAAGGCCAAUCAAACCGGGAGAUAGCUGGUUCUCCCCGAAAGCUAUUUAGGUAGCGCCUCGUGAACUCAUCUUCGGGGGUAGAGCACUGUUUCGGCUAGGGGGUCAUCCCGACUUACCAACCCGAUGCAAACUACGAAUACCGAAGAAUGUUAUCACGGGAGACACACGGCGGGUGCUAACGUCCGUCGUGAAGAGGGAAACAACCCAGACCGCCAGCUAAGGUCCCAAAGUCAUGGUUAAGUGGGAAACGAUGUGGGAAGGCACAGACAGCCAGGAUGUUGGCUUAGAAGCAGCCAUCAUUUAAAGAAAGCGUAAUAGCUCACUGGUCGAGUCGGCCUGCGCGGAAGAUGUAACGGGGCUAAACCAUGCACCGAAGCUGCGGCAGCGACACUAUGUGUUGUUGGGUAGGGGAGCGUUCUGUAAGCCUGCGAAGGUGACCUGUGAGGGUUGCUGGAGGUAUCAGAAGUGCGAAUGCUGACAUAAGUAACGAUAAAGCGGGUGAAAAGCCCGCUCGCCGGAAGACCAAGGGUUCCUGUCCAACGUUAAUCGGGGCAGGGUGAGUCGACCCCUAAGGCGAGGCCGAAAGGCGUAGUCGAUGGGAAACAGGUUAAUAUUCCUGUACUUGGUGUUACUGCGAAGGGGGGACGGAGAAGGCUAUGUUAGCCGGGCGACGGUUGUCCCGGUUUAAGCAUGUAGGCUGGUUAUCCAGGCAAAUCCGGAUAAUCAAGGCUGAGGUGUGAUGACGAGGCACUACGGUGCUGAAGUAACAAAUGCCCUGCUUCCAGGAAAAGCCUCUAAGCAUCAGGUAACAUCAAAUCGUACCCCAAACCGACACAGGUGGUCAGGUAGAGAAUACCAAGGCGCUUGAGAGAACUCGGGUGAAGGAACUAGGCAAAAUGGUGCCGUAACUUCGGGAGAAGGCACGCUGGUGUGUAGGUGAAGCCCCUGCGGGUGGAGCUGAGACCAGUCGAAGAUACCAGCUGGCUGCAACUGUUUAUUAAAAACACAGCACUGUGCAAACACGAAAGUGGACGUAUACGGUGUGACGCCUGCCCGGUGCCGGAAGGUUAAUUGAUGGGGUUAUCCGUAAGGAGAAGCUCUUGAUCGAAGCCCCGGUAAACGGCGGCCGUAACUAUAACGGUCCUAAGGUAGCGAAAUUCCUUGUCGGGUAAGUUCCGACCUGCACGAAUGGCGUAAUGAUGGCCAGGCUGUCUCCACCCGAGACUCAGUGAAAUUGAACUCGCUGUGAAGAUGCAGUGUACCCGCGGCAAGACGGAAAGACCCCGUGAACCUUUACUAUAGCUUGACACUGAACAUUGAGCCUUGAUGUGUAGGAUAGGUGGGAGGCUUUGAAGCGUGGACGCCAGUCUGCGUGGAGCCAACCUUGAAAUACCACCCUUUAAUGUUUGAUGUUCUAACGUUGGCCCCUUACCGGGGUUGCGGACAGUGUCUGGUGGGUAGUUUGACUGGGGCGGUCUCCUCCCAAAGCGUAACGGAGGAGCACGAAGGUUAGCUAAUCCUGGUCGGACAUCAGGAGGUUAGUGCAAUGGCAUAAGCUAGCUUGACUGCGAGCGUGACGGCGCGAGCAGGUGCGAAAGCAGGUCAUAGUGAUCCGGUGGUUCUGAAUGGAAGGGCCAUCGCUCAACGGAUAAAAGGUACUCCGGGGAUAACAGGCUGAUACCGCCCAAGAGUUCAUAUCGACGGCGGUGUUUGGCACCUCGAUGUCGGCUCAUCACAUCCUGGGGCUGAAGUAGGUCCCAAGGGUAUGGCUGUUCGCCAUUUAAAGUGGUACGCGAGCUGGGUUUAGAACGUCGUGAGACAGUUCGGUCCCUAUCUGCCGUGGGCGCUGGAGAAUUGAGGGGGGCUGCUCCUAGUACGAGAGGACCGGAGUGGACGCAUCACUGGUGUUCGGGUUGUCAUGCCAAUGGCACUGCCCGGUAGCUAAAUGCGGAAGAGAUAAGUGCUGAAAGCAUCUAAGCACGAAACUUGCCCCGAGAUGAGUUCUCCCUGAGACUUUAAGUCUCCUGAAGGAACGUUGAAGACGACGACGUUGAUAGGCCGGGUGUGUAAGCGCAGCGAUGCGUUGAGCUAACCGGUACUAAUGAACCGUGAGGCUUAACCUU